ACCUGGCAUACAAUGUAGAUAUCUGU
rnacentral:piRNA from 2 species